rnacentral:tRNA from 2 species
UAUUCUUUUAUUAGAAUA